GCGCAGUGCGCGGGCCCCCGGCGGGCGGGCGGAGCCGAGCGGAGCCGAGCCGCGCCGAGCGGAGCCGAAGGGAGCGGAGCAUUGUGCGGGCGGGCGGACGGACCGACGGACGCCGCGAGUUCAGCGCCGGAUUCCCCGCUGAGGCCGCCGCCGCCGUCCCCUCAGCACCAUGUCGGGCCGGUCGGUGCGGGCCGAGACCCGGAGCCGGGCGAAGGAUGAUAUCAAACGGGUGAUGGCGGCCAUCGAGAAAGUGCGCAAAUGUCUGUCCAGUGAAGAUGCUGUGUGAGGCUGCUUUGAGAUGCUAACAGGGAGAAGAAGUGGGUGACAGUUGGCGACACAUCCCUAAGGAUUUACAAAUGGGUACCAGUAACAGAGCCUAAAGUCGAUGAUAAAAAUAAGAACAAGAAAAAAGGCAAAGAUGAAAAAUGUGGCUCUGAAGUGACCACUCCAGAGAACAGCUCCUCUCCAGGGAUGAUGGACAUGCAUGAUGACAACAGCAACCAGAGUUCAAUAGCUGAUGCUUCUCCGAUAAAACAAGAGAACAGUAGUAAUUCAAGUCCAGCACCAGAACAGAACUUGGCAACACAAGCAGACGGCACUGAAGUCAAGUCUGACGAAACUCAGGCAGAAGCAAAGGAGCAGCCUGGUUCAGAAGAUACCUCUGAUGAACAGAAUUCACAGUCUUCAAUGGAAAAUUCCAUGAAUAGUUCAGAGAAAGCAGAAAUCCAGUCCUCUGGAGAAAAUGAUAUACUUACAGAGGCAUCUAAAAACUCUCAGGACUCUGAAGGAGUGCCACCUUCUAAAAAGAUGAAAGUAGAGGCUUCCCAACAAAAUGUUGAAGAGAUUUAGACUAUAGAUUUUUCUGGUCAGUUUUUAUGUAAGGUACAUCAGUGGGCUUAAUUAUAGAACAACCUUACUUAAGCAUCUUCUCUUGGAUGAGGACAGAACUCCUAACUUUUCAAGUUACCAAGCAAAAAUCCAAGAAAGCCUAACAAAGGUUUAACUUCUCAGACACUGAAAACUUUCUUCCUGUGAAACAAACAUUGAGAACUUUUAAGUUACUGUCUCUGAAAUGGUUGGAGUAAACAACUCAGGAGGGGUCUACGCACUGUUUCUAAAGUCAAAAUUACAAUUAUGUUGCUGCUGUAUUAUUUUUUUUUUUUGUUUUUCAUUUCUCUAUUUAACAAUGUAAGAUAUUUAAGGAUGGUACAGGUCAGGUAUUAGCUUUCAUGUGAAGUUCAUUGUUCUGGCGUGACGUCUGCUUUUGUUUUGUGCCUUGUGUUCUGAAAACAGUGCUAACUUUUAAAGAAGUUGUUUUGCAACUGUCUCCUUUGCAAAGUGGCCUAUGUUUGUAUAAUGCCAUGGAGUAAGGCUUUUUCUCUUUUUCUUUUCCUUUUUCUGUUUGGGGUUUUUGUUUUGUUGUUAAUUUUUAAAUCCCUGGUGCUUCAAUUUUUAAUACAGGUCAGGAAGCCAUUUUCACUCUUGGAGUCCAAGGAGAAAAAGGAGCUUGAUAUUUUAUUUUAGCAGCUAUAGUGGAGAUCUUUUAUGAAUGCAUGGCAUUCGCAACUGUAAAUUUGGUCUUCUAAGUACUUAACUUCAUCAGAAGUUAACAUGAUCUGUUUACCAUUUAUAGUCCAGAUCUGAAUAUAUACUAUAACACAGCAGUUAAAAUACUUACGUAUUAGGUCCAGAUCUCUGUACUGGGUACAACUUGCUUUACAGAAAAGUUCCACUAUGUACAUAAAUAGGAUCAAAGGGAUUAAUGCACAGUGAAUUUAUUUUCAAUUGGUCUUUUUUGAUAUCAUGUUUUCACUGAACUGGAUUUCACUGUACUGUUUCUGUAUAAGAUGUUUACUUCUAUGUUCCAGGUUAAUAACUGUAUUCGGGGGUUCUUUUUCCUUUCAGCAAGUCUUGUAAAUAAGCCUUGUUGUUUCCACAGUCCCUACAUCACUCUUAGGUUCUUCCUAACAUUGGGAAAGGUUCUUCUGUUUCCAAUGAUGCUCAAGCGUGCUAACCUGAAACUUUAUGGACAGGCAUGAAGUAUGUGCAGCUCCCUUCAAAUUGGUGGCAUGCAGAGGUGCAAAACCAUCUGCAUCAGGUCACAAGGGCCUGAUCUUACAGUGGGCUUUGUGCUUCCAGGCUGAGCUUCCAGUUACAAAUACCUGGUGUUGGUGGGAACCACUUAUUUCUUCCUUCAGUGCACACACAUGCACAUAUGGGAUGUACACACGUGUCGCUGCAUCGGGCCCUGAGUCUGUCUUCACUUUGUGUGGGAGAUGGAACUUGUCAUUUAAAAUAUGAUCUCACAGCUAUGAAAACGGUUUAUAGUUUGUAAGCUAAGAACUGUAAAUACUUUUUUAAAUGGGGAGGGGGAAAAAAACACAUUGCUUCCAGUUGAUACACUUUGAGAAUUAGCUCUUCAUUAAGCUUAUUUAGUUCUGAGUUCUCCAAUAGUGAAAAUGGCUUGUACUUAGACUACUGUUGCGUUUGCAAUUACCACUUUAUUAUGAGAAACAAUAAGGGAAUGGGGGGAGGGAAUAGAGGGAGGGUGGAGUGGGGAGCCAAUACUGACCUUCCGUAAGAUGUUUGUAGGAUUGAACUCCAAAUAACGUCUGACACUCAGUUCCAGAACUCUUCCUUUAUGUUGAAAUAAAACCUUUUGAAUUUUAACUGAAUAAAAAUUUGAUUGCAAAUCAUUCAUGAAAACAGUGUGCUCCCUAAUAAGUUUUUGGGAUUUCUGGUCUGAUCAUGAAGUCCAUUAACAUUCUGAAAAUAAGGAAAUGAGGAGCCAAAAAAAAAAAACCCCUAUAUUUGCACAAUAUAUGCAAUGAAACGGUAGAAUUCUCUCUUGAAUUGUGUGUAUGCCUAAAAUGUGGAUAACUGGUCAAUGACGAUUGAUUUGUAUGUAUAUUGCAUUCAGAUUUAAGUGAUAUUUUGUGAGAAGUUCUAUUGAUAUAUUAAAUGGGCAAAUCUAGAAAGAUUCAAACUUAAAAAUAUUUUUGCUUUACUAACUUUCUGUUGUUUUUAAUGCUAAAACAAGACGAGUCUGAUGCCACCUCUGACACUAGUCAUGUUUACUAAUCCCGGUCUUCAGGUGCAUCGCAGCAAGUUUUUAACUUUAAUUUUGUAGACGUUUCCAAGGGAGUAAAUAGACUUUUCAUUUAGAAACUAAUUCCUGUACUUUAGGAAGAAAUAAAAUAUAUAAAUAGCACUAAAAAUACCUCAAAUUUUUCAUUAGGUAGAAGCAUUUAUUGGCAUUAUUGACAUCAACAGGUUUAAUUAUCAACUUCCUUUUCUCUCCUGUGGCUUCUGCUCAGAACUGUUUGUUGUUCUGUGGCUUACAAGACAAGGCAUCAUAACCAUAUUUAUUCCUAGAGGCUUUAUUUCUAAAGUAGUAAUGUUUUAUUUACAGCUUAUACAGAAUACAUUCAGAACUGUUCUUUUUUUUUAAACCAGAGAUUCUAGUGACAACAGACAACUGAACAAGCAGAUAGAUUUGGGUUCCUUAGACCCGUUAUUGUCAGUCUCUAAGGGAAGAGACUUUGACAUUAUCUGGUAUGAAGAAAUCCAAAAUAGUGUAUAAGACUGUUAUUAGUCUUUUUUUGAAGUGCCUGAUAACAUUUAUGGGCCAACGGAUGUGAUUUAAACACAUUUUAAUGCCAGAAAGUACAGAUGGGACCAAACCAGAACAUCGAAUUCAAAUCAACCUGAGAUUUGAAACCAGAUUUAAAUCCAGCUUUUUUUGGUUUGGACCUAUCUCUACCAGAAACUUGUUUUAUGAACUCACUGUAAAAGGGUUUAUCGAAAGCAUUGAGACGUGGAGCAGAAGGAGAGAUGUAAUUUUCUUCACGAUGACUGAAAGUUCUCAUACAGCUAACGUUUUAGAAAUAGUGCAAAUAUCAAGAAGUGCUUCCUUGCUACAAUGCUGAAUGUUGGAGCUUCAGUUACAAAUAAAUACAAAAGAAAAAAAGAAAAAAAGAAAAAAAACGGGAAAGAAAAAACAAAAGACAAAAAAAGAAACUAGAAGCAAGCAAGUGAAUUAGCUGAGUCUGUGGAACAUGUGGGAAGGCCUUCCGAAUAAGCGAUUUACUCAGCCAAACAUUUUAUAGCAGAACUAUUCCUUGGAAUUUUUAUGCUUGGGAAAGUAGUUGUUAAACAUUCCAAAAAGUGCUGGCACUUAACAAAACAACAAAAAAAAAAAAAAAAAAAAAAAAAAAAACAAGGCAGUCUAAAAUACUGGUUUUGGGUGGCUCUCUUCAUACAUAAACAUUGUCAUGUUUUGGAAUGUUCUUUCUAUCUAAGGGCCUGUUAGAAGGUGUAAAGAAUUUUGUUUUCUUCAAUACCUAAUCGUUUUCCAUCUUAUGAUUUGUGUGUGUGUGUGUUGUACAGCAGUAUAAUUUUUCACUUAUUUAUUCCAUCGGUAGUUAUGGUUUGUACAAUGUACAAUGGUUUCAUUUCCGAAAUAAAAUAAAAAAAUCACAACA